AGAUCACACCACUGUCAGAUCGGUGUAGUUUUGUUAUUUCAGACAUCUGAACUGUUGAAGAAAAUGUUUCUCAUGUUUGUUUUUCUCUCUUUCGGCUUCACUUCUCUGGUUGGUGUGUUUGGUGAUGAAGUGAAGUCAGUGUCAGUGAUGGAGGGAGAUUCUGUUACUCUACACACUGAUACUAAACUACAGACAGAUGAUCUGAUAACAUGGAGGUUUAAAACUAAAGGGUCUCUCAUAGCUAAAAUGAAUAAAGACACCAAUACAGUCUCAAUAUAUGAUGAUGUUCUUGAUGUGAGAUUCAGAGACAGACUGCAGGUGAAUAAUCAGACUGGAGAUCUCACCAUCACAAACAUCACAACUCAACACACUGGACUUUAUCAAUUAACCAUCAACAGCAAGCAGACGAUGUCACACACAUUCAGUGUUACUGUCUAUGACUACGAUUGCUGUUGUUUUGGUCCUGAAGGUGUGAUUCGAUUGGUCGUCUCUGCUCUAGUGGGUGUGGCUACUGUUGCGGUUCUGGUUUAUGAAUUUUACAGCACCUCUGGUGGAGUUAUUGUAGUUUGUGGUUACAAUUUUAAUACAUUAUUUUAAAACAUUUUUUCCACUAUCUUUGAUGUUUUUGACCUGUAAUGUAAUAUAUUUUACAAUUUAACCAUUUUUAGAUGGACAAUAUUAGGAUCAAUAUACAAACAUACAAAUUAUGCACCUUCUUUCUAUAUCAAACAGUUAAAAUAUUGUAUUAAAAUAUAUUAUUAUAUUAUUAAUAUAUUAUUUAUUUUAAUAAUGAAUUAAUUCAAUGUGUAAGUGAAAAAUAGAGCUAGAACAUUUAAAAUUUGGGGAAUGAGUUGGUGCCAUCUGGUGGAAUUAAAAGAAAAUCCUAUAUAAUCACAUUUGUGUUUUCAACUCUCAGAGUUUUAUUGACAAAUGUGUUAAAACACACAAGGAUUUUUUUAUAUUACUUGUAAAAUGCAUUUCUAUAAAUAUAAAGAGAAUAGAGUGUCCAUUAUGUAGUAAACAGAUAUAUCAUUUGCAGGUGUUAUUUACAUGUGUACAAUUUAAGAUGUAUUUAUUGUGAUUUUAUGUGAAAAUAUGCAAUUGUUCCGAUGUCAUCAUUACGAUCAACGAAAAAUGCGCUUUUACACCUUUACUUGUUCCUAUGGCAAAAAUAAAAAUUUGACGAAACAUUGGUGCGUCUAAUGCACAAGAUAUGGAGUAUGGUAUUCCGUGCCAUUAAAGCAACACUAUGUAGUUUUUUUACCUUUAAAUAAUGUCUCUAAAAUUGUUUCAGUGAUAGAACAACUUUUAACUGGACAAAUUGUACUGCUGCUGCAACCUGAGCAGCCUCCUAGCUGCUACAAGCACACUCUGAAAGUGGCGGUGGAGGGUAGGAAACACAGCCCCGCCUCUCCCCCUGCCUGCAGAAGAGUGUCUGAUACCAGGCACUGUUGCGCUUUCAACCACAUGGGGGAGCUGUAAGUCAUUUUUACAUGGAAACUACAUAGUGUUGCUUUAAUAAACGUGCGACCCACGUGUAGGGUUGUAACAGUAUGGCGGUAUACCACGAUAUUGGCAUGUACUGUUAUCAUACCGUGGACAUUUGCUUAUCCACAGUUUUGGCCAAAAAUUUAAACAGAUCUAUGGGACAAAUUUCCCUUCAAAUGAAUUGAGGUCACGGAUAAAAAAAUAAUAUGUGUGAAUAAAAAAAUAAUACGCGCAAAUGAGAACUUUAAACAGAAUUAUAAUGCACAAAACUGGAUAAAAUGGCAUAAAAAGUUUUAUUUGUUUAUAUUAUUC